AUGUUACCGCUGAAGAAUGAUUGGUAUUUAAUGCUCCAGAAGUUUCCAAAACUAACGGGUGUCACACAGAUUAAGUUUAAAGGCUCUGACAGUCUGGAAUCUGCUGCCUCGUUAGUUAACCCAGCUCUGAAACCAACUCAGCAGUCAGAGAUCACCAAAACUAGUGCUGCUGUACCUGCAGCCGUGCCUCCUGCAGAGGAUGUAGAUAAAAGCAGGUUACCCAAUGUUUUCCAUGGACUCACGCAGAGAUUGGCAUCCAGUCCUUCGGCAACAACCGUCCCUGCCUGGGUGACUGAUUCAAAAACGAAGUUAAUGAAAGAGCGAACAGUAAUGCGAACGAAACACAUUAUCACAUCAAUUUCCUCAGCCGUCACAAUUCAGUCUAGAGUUAAACGAUUAGAAGAUCUAAUCGACCACCUCAGGGAAUAUCCUGAUGCACAAAUUGUAGCUGCUGAGGUAAGAUACUCAUCUAUUGUAAGUAAGGUCUUAGAUUUUUAAUUCAAGUAAGGUAGAAAUAUCAGGGGUGCAGAAACUUUCCGAUGAUGUGGUCAUGAUGUGCUACCGCUUCCAUGAAAAAACGGAAAGGCUGUGUUUUUGGGAAGGCCAGCUUGUGCUAGCAGUAUAACUGUGUUUUUUUUUUUCAAAAAUAAUUUAUGAUAGGGUUGAACUAACAAUGAUUAAUUUUCUGUUUACAGUCUGGCGCCAUCAGUCUUCUGCUGCAGCUGCAAAGGCGGAUUGAAAGAUGAUGUUUUCACAAGCAAUUCUCAGGGAAAGUCUAGCUUCGUGGGUUAUUCACCUCCUCUUCCGAAAAAGAAUUCGGAUUUUAUGUAUUGACGGAGGAGGCAUAAGGUACUUUAAAUUUUGCAAUUUAUUGUAUUUUUUUGGUCACAUUGUAUGCACUUUUAAAAGUACAUUGUAAGUUUUCAAAUUUUCAUGCAUUUUUUACUGCACAGAAUAGAAGCCAAAUCAACUUUUUUACCAUGAUUUUUUUACUUUUCUUCACCAUUCCCUCGUUUCCCUGUAUCAAUUCAAAGCCUUGAUGUUAAUUCCUUUGCUGCUCAUGAAGAAAGUCUUCUUGAAAAUUUUGA
rnacentral:lncRNA from 1 species